CCCCGGUAAACGGCGGCCGUAACUAUAACGGUCCUAAGGUAGCGAAAUUCCUUGUCGGGUAAGUUCCGACCUGCACGAAUGGCGUAAUGAUGGCCAGGCUGUCUCCACCCGAGACUCAGUGAAAUUGAACUCGCUGUGAAGAUGCAGUGUACCCGCGGCAAGACGGAAAGACCCCGUGAACCUUUACUAUAGCUUGACACUGAACAUUGAGCCUUGAUGUGUAGGAUAGGUGGGAGGCUUUGAAGUGUGGACGCCAGUCUGCAUGGAGCCGACCUUGAAAUACCACCCUUUAAUGUUUGAUGUUCUAACGUGGACCCGUAAUCCGGGUUGCGGACAGUGUCUGGUGGGUAGUUUGACUGGGGCGGUCUCCUCCUAAAGAGUAACGGAGGAGCACGAAGGUUGGCUAAUCCUGGUCGGACAUCAGGAGGUUAGUGCAAUGGCAUAAGCCAGCUUGACUGCGAGCGUGACGGCGCGAGCAGGUGCGAAAGCAGGUCAUAGUGAUCCGGUGGUUCUGAAUGGAAGGGCCAUCGCUCAACGGAUAAAAGGUACUCCGGGGAUAACAGGCUGAUACCGCCCAAGAGUUCAUAUCGACGGCGGUGUUUGGCACCUCGAUGUCGGCUCAUCACAUCCUGGGGCUGAAGUAGGUCCCAAGGGUAUGGCUGUUCGCCAUUUAAAGUGGUACGCGAGCUGGGUUUAGAACGUCGUGAGACAGUUCGGUCCCUAUCUGCCGUGGGCGCUGGAGAACUGAGGGGGGCUGCUCCUAGUACGAGAGGACCGGAGUGGACGCAUCACUGGUGUUCGGGUUGUCAUGCCAAUGGCACUGCCCGGUAGCUAAAUGCGGAAGAGAUAAGUGCUGAAAGCAUCUAAGCACGAAACUUGCCCCGAGAUGAGUUCUCCCUGAGACUUAGAGUCUCCUGAAGGAACGUUGAAGACGACGACGUUGAUAGGCC
rnacentral:rRNA from 5 species